rnacentral:rRNA from 1 species
GAGGGUGCAAGCGUUAUUCGGAAUUACUGGGCGUAAAGCGCGCGUAGGUGGUUUGUUAAGUUGGAUGUGAAAGCCCCGGGCUCAACCUGGGAACUGCAUCCAAAACUGGCAAGCUAGAGUAGGGCAGAGGGUGGUGGAAUUUCCUGUGUAGCGGUGAAAUGCGUAGAUAUAGGAAGGAACACCAGUGGCGAAGGCGACCACCUGGGCUCAUACUGACACUGAGGUGCGAAAGCGUGGGGAGCAAACAGG